UACGGGGGGGGGCAAGCGUUGUUCGGAUUUACUGGGCGUAAAGGGAGCGUAGGUGGUUAGGUAAGCCCUCCGGGAAAUCUUCAGGCUUAACCUGAAAAGGUCGGGGGGGACUGCCUGGCUAGAGGACGGGAGAGGAGCGCGGAAUUCCCGGUGUAGCGGUGAAAUGCGUAGAGAUCGGGAGGAAGGCCGGUGGCGAAGGCGGCGCUCUGGAACGUUUCUGACACUGAGGCUCGAAAGCGUGGGGAGCAAACAGG
rnacentral:rRNA from 1 species